UGAGGAAUAUUGGUCAAUGGGCGAGAGCCUGAACCAGCCAAGUAGCGUGCAGGAUGACGGCCCUCCGGGUUGUAAACUGCUUUUAGUUGGGAAUAAAAAAAGGGACUUGUCCCUUCUUGUAUGUACCUUCAGAAAAAGGACCGGCUAAUUCCGUGCCAGCAGCCGCGGUAAUACGGAAGGUCCAGGCGUUAUCCGGAUUUAUUGGGUUUAAAGGGAGCGUAGGCGGAUUGUUAAGUCAGCGGUUAAAGGGUGUGGCUCAACCCUGCAUUGCCGUUGAAACUGGCGAUCUUGAGUGCAGACAGGGAUGCCGGAAUUCGUGGUGUAGCGGUGAAAUGCUUAGAUAUCACGAAGAACUCCGAUCGCGAAGGCAGGUGUCCGGGCUGCAACUGACGCUGAGGCUCGAAAGUGUGGGUAUCAAACAGGAUUAGAUACCCUGGUAGUCCACACAGUAACGAUGUAUACUCGCGGUUUGCGAUAGACAGUAAGCCGCCNAGCGAAAGCAUUAAGUAUACCACCUGGGGAGUACGCCGGCAACGGU
rnacentral:rRNA from 1 species